rnacentral:rRNA from 1 species
CACCUACGGGGGGCUGCAGUGGGGAAUAUUGGACAAUAGGCGCAAGCCUGAUCCAGCCAUGCCGCGUGAGUGAUGAAGGCCUUAGGGUUGUAAAGCUCUUUUAUCCGGGACGAUAAUGACGGUACCGGAGGAAUAAGCCCCGGCUAACUUCGUGCCAGCAGCCGCGGUAAUACGAAGGGGGCUAGCGUUGCUCGGAAUCACUGGGCGUAAAGGGCGCGUAGGCGGUCUUUUAAGUCGGGGGUGAAAGCCUGUGGCUCAACCACAGAAUUGCCUUCGAUACUGGGAGACUUGAGUUCGGAAGAGGUUGGUGGAACUGCGAGUGUAGAGGUGAAAUUCGUAGAUAUUCGCAAGAACACCGGUGGCGAAGGCGGCCAACUGGUCCGACACUGACGCUGAGGCGCGAAAGCGUGGGGAGCAAACAGGAUUAGAUACCCUGGUAGUCGUC